ensembl:lncRNA
CCCCUCCCCCUCCUCCUCCUUCCCUCUGCCUUUUCCCUGUUCCUGCUGCUAUCAUCCCGUGAUCUUUACUAACAGUAGCGACUUACUACUUACUAAGAGGUGUAUGCUGGGCAACUCUUUCCUCAUCCUACACAAGAACCUGGACUGUUUUUGGCCCAUUCAACUGUAACAGGCCAACAUCCUGGGAGUGGAAGUCUGGGCUUCUCAGGAUGCAACAUCGAGUGUCCAUUGUACACAGCCCAAGCAUCUCAUUGGCGACUGCUGCUCCCCGUAUUUGCUUCAGAUCUUUAACGCAAGACAGAAAACACUCCAAGCAAGUCUGACCUUUUGUUCUACAUCUCAUUCCUCUUUGGAAGGAGCCAGCAUCGGUAACCUGACCAUGCAGCAAGAACUACCAAAAUGUGUAUUUGCUCAACAUCACACAGAAACCACCACCACGAUGUGAGCUACUCUGCUUCACUCUUCAGCAUGAAGCUCUGCCUCAGUACCAGCCCAGAAGCAACAGCACCAGCUGACCCUGGCCUGAAACCUCUGAAGCUCCAAGGCAACACAGUCUUUCCUCCUCUGAGUGGCUCAUGUCAGAAAUCUCUGCUGGAUAUGUGAGCAGAAAGUCGGAAUGCAGGAACAUAAACGUGGGUUCAAGCAUUCUACCUGCCACACGGGAAAGGCCGAACAGGAUGGAGACAAAGGAGGCUUCAUUUUUCACAAUGCUCUCCCCUGGGCUCUCUUGGAGAUUCAAGGCAGGUGGAGAUCACAAAGAAUACCAAUAAAUAAGCACCAAAGGGAAGAAUGACUGCAUUGGCUGUUAGACUCUAGACGAUGAGUGUUAUGCCUUAGCAGAAAGUUUGUCUGCAUUUUGCACGUGUCCAGAGACUUUGCCUGAGACUGAGAUUAAGGGCAGUGGACUAAUUAAUCUGGCAGAAGAAAUUUCAAGGCAGUCUAAUGUUGAGGCAGAGGCAUGGCUCCCAUUGGGUGCUUUUAGCUAGAUUUAUGUUGAGAAUCAAGAGCAAAGAGUCUUCAGGAAUGAUUUAUUUAAAACAUUUUGAGUUUGGCUAGAAAGGAAGUCCCAGUAAAGUUGUGGCUGGCAAAGAUGGAACAGAGGAAAAAUUGGUCACUAAAAAGACUAGCAAGAGGACCAGGGAUUUAGCUCAGUGGUGCCACUGCCUGCCUCGCAAGUGCAAGGCCCCAAGUUUGAUCCCUAUACCAAAAAAAAAAAAAAAAAAAAAAAAAAAAACAGCAAGAAAUAAAGUCAAGUAUUUCAGAAGAAGACAGAAAAGAUCGGCUGAGGACAUCACGAGAACCAACAGCCUCUGCAGCCUCAGAGUUGCAAAGGUGAAAGACUUUGUUUUGAGAAGAGAGCCCCAGAGCACCACAUUCCAGAAUGGUGGUGGCCAAGGGAAGUUGUUCCUUGGGAUUUGGUUCACAGGUGCUGGACCACUACAGCCAAGAGAGAAGGAAGCCUAGCUACUGCUCCAGCUGGCGGCAGACCUUGGUAUCAUCCAUAUGAUGCUGGUUUUAGGUACAUGCAGAAUGCAAGAGUUGUGGGGUCAGGAAGGCUUCCACCCAGAUUUUGGAAGGCCUGAGAGGCCAGGCAGUGUGUCCCUGAGAGAGCAGUGUGUAGGUGUGAAUGUGAAGCCAAAGGUGCAGUGGAGACCCCAGAAGUUUGGAGAAGCCAGGAGCAUGGAUUGUCUGAAAAAAAGAAAACUGCAAGGAGGGAGCACAGCUGGCCCCAGAGAGAAACCGUGGGAGCUACAACCACUGGCUAUAACUGUGGAGCCACCCAAGCCCUUUGGAGUUCACAUCUUGCCACAGAUUGCUGGGGAUGCUGGAAGUGAACUGUGAGAUUUAAUAUUUGCCCUGCUGGAUUUUGGGUGUUCGCAUUCCUUGCUAUCCCCUUCUUUGCAACUUUUAGAAUGGAAGCUCUUGUCUUGUUCCAUUGAAUGUUGGAAGUGAUUAACUUUCUUUUCAUUUGUACAGGGGCUUGCUGAUAAUAGUUUGCUUUAAAUCUCAGAGGAAACUUUGGACUUAAACUUUUCAACAAUGGUGAAACAGUUAGGACUUUGGCAACUCUUGGAGAUGAACUAAAUGCCUUUUGAAAAAAGGGAUAUGCUUGAGUCUUUAGGGGGCCAGGGGUGGAAUGUUAUGUUUCACAGGUAGCUGGAUCUAGAGUGUGUGAUGCAGGAAUUGGUUCAGAGUACAACGCUAGGAUCAAGGGCACUAUAAUUAAGGGUGUGAGUACUACCUGCCCUAAGAUAGCCUGGAUAAUAAAGAAGGGGUAGAAAGACCUGUGGUUGUCCCUUACUUGCUUUGCUACCUUCUGCCCACUGUAAUCUGUUUUUCCUCUGUGAUGGCUGUCUGCCAUGUCACUGUCUUUGAGCCAGCCAAUUAUGGACUGAACCUUCUACAAACUGUGAGCUACGUAAACCUUUCCUCUCUGAUUUAUGGGUUUUGGGUAUUUUGUUUCAGCAACAAGAAAAGUAACUAAGACAUAUGAUAUAUAAUUGUACUAACACUAAAAAUAUAAUUAGCCAUUCUAGUGGUUAUAUGUUAUGUAGUUGUAUUAGCUAUUUCUAGAUCUUAUCAUGUGAGGAAUCUGUUUCUAUUAAAAUGUUUG